UCGGAAGGUGCGGCUGGAUCACCUCCUUUCUAAGGAUAUAUUCGGAACAUCUUCUACGAAGAUGAAACGGAAUAACGGAGACAUAUUGUAUUCAGUUUUGAAUGCUCAUAGAGUAUUCAAAGAUUGUACAUUGAAAACUAGAUAAGUAAGUAAAAUAUAGAUUUUACCAAGCAAAACCGAGUGAAUUAGAGUUUUAAAAAGCUUGAAUUCAAACUAAAAUAAUCGCUAGUGUUCGAAAGAACACUCACAGAUUAAUAACAUUUUGGGUUUUGAGUUAAACGUUGUGUUUGACUUGAAAACAAAAAGAUUAAGUUAUUAAGGGCGCAC
rnacentral:misc_RNA from 1 species